rnacentral:rRNA from 1 species
UACAUGCAAGUCGUACGCUAGCCGCUGAAUUGAUCCUUCGGGUGAAGUGAGGCAAUGACUAGAGUGGCGAACUGGUGAGUAACACGUAAGAAACCUGCCCUUUAGUGGGGGAUAACAUUUGGAAACAGAUGCUAAUACCGCGUAACAACAAAUCACACAUGUGAUCUGUUUGAAAGGUCCUUUUGGAUCGCUAGAGGAUGGUCUUGCGGCGUAUUAGCUUGUUGGUAGGGUAGAAGCCUACCAAGGCAAUGAUGCGUAGCCGAGUUGAGAGACUGGCCGGCCACAUUGGGACUGAGACACUGCCCAAACUCCUACGGGAGGCUGCAGUAGGGAAUUUUCCGCAAUGCACGAAAGUGUGACGGAGCGACGCCGCGUGUGUGAUGAAGGCUUUCGGGUCGUAAAGCACUGUUGUAAGGGAAGAAUAACUGAAUUCAGAGAAAGUUUUCAGCUUGACGGUACCUUACCAGAAAGGGAUGGCUAAAUACGUGCCAGCAGCCGCGGUAAUACGUAUGUCCCGAGCGUUAUCCGGAUUUAUUGGGCGUAAAGCGAGCGCAGACGGUUUAUUAAGUCUGAUGUGAAAUCCCGAGGCCCAACCUCGGAACUGCAUUGGAAACUG